rfam:Moniliophthora roreri strain MCA 2952 kmer90.96121, whole genome shotgun sequence.
GGCUGUGUAGCGUAAUGGUUAACGCGCUAGUUUCCGGGGUUGAAAUGUCAGGAACAGGUAGAGAUUCUGGGUUCGAGUCCCAGCUUGGUCG